UUACCGGGUCCGGACACACUGAGGAUUGACAGGUAUUAUAUAGCACGCACUUCGGUGUGUGUCUAUUGUUAAAUAUGCUAGUCCUUUCAUGAUUAUGUGAUAGGUGGUGCAUGGCCGUUCUUAGUUCGUGGAGUGAUCUGUCUGCUUAAUUGCGUUUCAGAUAAGGAUCUAUAUUCUUUAUACGAGUGUUGCAGACCCCUUCCUCACGGGAGCGCGUGUCUCGCAUAAUCUCUAUACAUUAGGUCCUGAAAGCAACGAACGUGACCGCAACCUCUUGUUGCCUCAUCUCUCCAUACCAACUAGGUAGUGCAGCUUGCUGUUUCUGCUUAACGUAUCCAUUGAGGCUUUACCCAAACUAGAGGGACCGCUGUCAACUUCUUAAACCAGAGGAAGGUUGCGGCAAUAACAGGUCUGUGAUGCCCUUAGAUGUUCCGGGCUGCACACGUGCUACAAUGAUUGUUGCAGUGAGCAUCUCAAUUCUUUACCUUAACACCGCACACGUGAGUAUUAACGUACUUUACGCAGCGGUAAAGCCUGCUUCGAGAGCAAGUGGGUAAUCAAUUAGAAGUAACGAUUUCCCAAGUUAGCACACCUAUAUACGGCGUUUGUGCCCGGGUUUCACUUGUUGGAGCUUUUGUGCGCGCAGAUGUUUCUUCCGUAUGUGCAAUUGUCAAUUCAUGGUGGGGACAGACCAUUGUUAAUUGUUGGUCUCGGUCUUAACUAGGAAUGCCUUGUACGGGUCUUUGGUUCAACAAACCACCCGGAAUACGUCCCUGCCCUUUGUACACACCGCCCGUCGCUCUUACCGAUGGACUUCUCUGUGAGUUUGAGGGACUGGGUCCUCGGAUCUAUGGAAACUUAAACGAACAGUGUGGUCUAAAGGAAAGAGAAGUCGUAACAAGGCAUCGG
rnacentral:rRNA from 1 species